CUGCCGGAGAGAGGCUUGGGCACUUGAAGUGGUAGCCGGCUUCUGCCGGAGAGAGGCUUGGGCACUUGAAGUGGUAGCCGGCUUCUGCCGGAGAGGCUUGCUUUGGCACUUGAAGUGGUAGCCGGCUUCUGCCGGAGAGAGGCUUGCUUGGGCACUUGAAGUGGUAGCCGGCAUCCGCAGUUCACCAGGCCCACCACCACAGGCAGCAGCAGAGGCAAAGCCACCGCCGCUUUGAAUCUUUUGCGCGUUUAGAUUCCCACUCGCGGGUCAAUCUGAACUGGGGGCGUUCGAUGCUGCAGACGCAAGCACUGGGUAGGGGGAAAGACGUUGAUGACCAGGCGUGUAGGUAGAGCUUGACCACCGUUAACCUCCUCCUCCUGCUGACCUUCGUGAAGGUGCUCGCUAGCUUGUACCACCCAAAAAAGGUGGCCUGUCGCUAGGGGAUUAUAGGGGAGGGGGGGUGAUUCUUGUUCAGGCUACGUGUCACAUGGGUUUUCGUGUCCGAAGGCGUGGGGAGAUUCUGUGUGAAGUCCUCGGUAGCCACGUGGGUUGGCAGGGGGGGGGGGUAGAGCGCUGUAGGGUGGUGGUGGCGAUUUAGUUUAUCCAAAAGCGGUGCCGGCCUUUGCUAGAUCAACACGGCCCGAGCAAAAUUGAGUUUGGUGGUGUGCGCCAGUAGGGGGUAAGGGGGAGUUUGUUCGCAAGCGUCUUGGAGAGUUUCAGUUUUUAUUUGGUGUAGCCCCGUGAGCCAAGUGAGUGAGAACCGCAGCGAACAGAAAGACGAACGGGGGAGCGUCUUUUAAAGUGACGACGCGCAACAUGGAAACGUCCAGGAAAAAUAACAGAAUCUGCGUAUCAACGCCGCGUGCAAAAAUGCCAGUGGCAUGCACGUCGAACGAUGACCAUGAGACGGUUUAGUUUAAAGUUUCCAGGCUAACUUUGUACUUCAACAAACAUGGCUAAACCGUGCGUUUUCGAAAUCGCCAAAACAAAGCUAUGAAAGCAAUGUAGUAGUAGUAGUGGUGGUUUUGAUAGGAACUGUGAUUCCAAUUUAACAGUAAACGAUACACACGGGGCAUGUACGACCAAAAGAGUGGAGGGAGGAGAGUAGGGGGUUUGAGUGUUUUAAUCUGUAGGUGUGAGCUGGUGAUGGUGGUGGCUGAGAUGAGAGGGGGGGUGGGUGGGGAGGAUUUAACAAGGAGGGGAAUGAACUCUUAACGGAGAAAAAAACCCAUCACGGACCCAAAUCCGCCCUUCCCUCUCCUGCCGCUGUGCCCCCUACCCCUUUCUCCCCCACCCCGCUCCCUCCACGCAGGGCUCACUGCGCGCUCGAUCGAUCGCUCGCCCCGGAACCACAAAAAAAACCCCAACCGUGCGCUUGUGCUGGAGGCUGGAGGUCUGCGCCUCAGCGAGCGUCACUGCGAUUUGUCUCCGUGUAAACCCUCGGUCCGUUACACCCCACCCCACCCACCCACCCCGCUCCGCCCGUUGUGGUUUUGUUGUGUAGCUGCAUUAUUUUUUCCGAUAUUGAAAUGUUGUGUCUUUUCAUUUUAUUUGGUAGAGUUUUCAUUUUUUUAAGCAAAAAACAGGCCCCCCCCCCCCCCUAUUCUCCCCCCCCCCCCCCACACACCCACUCGUUCCUUUUUACCCCUCCUAUCCGUAAUCCGCAUUUUGAAAGUUAAUGAAUAAUAAAUAAGUCCCGAGUGUGUAAAAAAAGUAACGUUUUUGUAGCGGGUCCGUUAUUUUACCGGUUUAUACCGUUGUUGUUGUUGUGAUGGUUUUUUUAUUGUUAUAAAAAGGCUUUUUUAAAGAUCGAUUUUAAAUUUGGGGGGGGGGGGCAGGGGGGGGGGAGUGAGUGUGAGUUUGCAACGCAAAGCAAAAAUAAGUUUGUCCCCAGAAUUUUUUUUAAACCAAAAUUUAUUUCCAUUUUCCUAAAUCUCGGGGGGGGGGGGAGGGGGGUGAAAAAUAAUUUGAAAAUAAUUUCAUUCCCUUGGACAUUUCCGAACCAUUUGCCAGUAUUUUGUUCGUCACACUGCAACCAUUUUUUUAAGAAAAUAAAAUUCAAAAUGCCUACA